CCACUACACUUGGUACAAGCUAGCGGAAAAAUUAUCUUUUUGAAAUACCCUGGGAUGUCUUCUUUAAGAAAUUGUAUGCCUUUAUGGUGUAGCUAGAAUAUGUAGCCUGCUCAAUUGCUCCAAAGUGGGACACGGACCCUCCAUGAAAAUUCACACUUGAAAACCUGAACUUGUCACGUCUCUUUUACAGCACUGUAACUUCACAAAAUAGUGUCUAGGUCAUACAUUGGUCAUAUUGUUUUACUCAGAAGAUGUAACUGAGCAUAAUGUGUGGGAUUUUACGACAAUGGUACAUAUCAAGUGUAAGAAAUACUCAGC